GACGAACGCUGGCGGCGUGCUUAACACAUGCGAGUCGAACGAUGAAGCCCAGCUUGCUGGGUGGAUUAGUGGCGAACGGGUGAGUAACACGUGGGCAACCUGCCCCAAACUCUGGGAUAACUCCUCGAAAGAGGUGCUAAUACCGGAUACGAACUAGGUGGACAUCUGCACUAGUUGGAAAGUUUUUCGGUUUGGGAUGGGCCCGCGGCCUAUCAGCUUGUUGGUGAGGUAACGGCUCACCAAGGCUACGACGGGUAACCGGCCUGAGAGGGCGACCGGUCACACGGGGACUGAGACACGGCCCAGACUCCUACGGGAGGCAGCAGUGGGGAAUAUUGCGCAAUGGGCGAAAGCCUGACGCAGCGACGCCGCGUGAGGGAUGAAGGUCUUCGGAUCGUAAACCUCUUUCAGUAGGGACGAAGCGAAAGUGACGGUACCUAAAGAAGAAGCACCGGCUAACUACGUGCCAGCCGCCGCCGUAA
rnacentral:rRNA from 1 species